CCAUCGCAUAGAUGGAGAUCAGGAUGGUUUCUCCGGAGCACAACUGGUGACCACUUGGGAGCACAUCGUCGGCUAGCACCACCUUGCGCUCGAUCGGGCCUGGUGGGUACAACCUGAGCGACUCCAAUAAGGCUGCCUGAAGGUAGACUAGGUGUUCAGUCUCCUUUGGAUCAAGACGACCAUACUACUGAUGCUAUUGGAGGCGAGAGCAGUGGCCUUCAGUGAUGCGAUGGGUGCCAGUUCCUUGCGGAUGCAAGAGACCACACGGGGGUUCCUGGCGAGGUUGUAGAAUACCCACGGUAGCGUGGUACCAAGCGUGUCCCGCCCGGCGAUCAUGUUAAAGAUGAGUACAUUACGUAGUAGGAUAUCGUCUCUGCCCACUGAUGGGUCAGCAGAAAUAAUGUCCAUGGCCCACACAUCAUCAAGGAGAUCGGCGCACCUGGCUUUCGACUUCUCAGUCAUCUCCAUGAUGAAAGCAUGCAUCACUGUUUGCGCCAUGGCCAGCUUCUUCUCUGGACCGAUGUUUAGCCGUCUCAUCACCUUCCAGAAACAAGUCGGCAUGGUGUGCCGGAAUAAGCCGACCUCCAUGAACGUGUCCAUGGCGGUUGCAACAUGGAUAGACGGCAUGCUGAUGGACAGGCAACCCGGGUCGACACCGAAGAUCGGCGUGGCAGUAAGGUCGAACACCAACCUUGUGAUCAAAUCCUGCAUGUCGAACGUUGUCCUGGUGCUCCCCAUGCGGGUCAAGAACGGGAGGAGUCCGUUCACCACCUUGUCACGGCAGCAACUUGCCAUCAAGGCAAGUAACCGUGGAUUGCUCAAGAUGUUCUGGAACAUGGCUCUCUGCUGGCGGACGGCCUCACCAUCAAUGGCGAAGAGGGUGCCGCUAAUGAUGUCGAAGAUUUCAGCAAAAUCCUCGCCCUUGGGGUAGUUUGCAUGGUUGGAGGUGAAGAUGUGCCGGACGUUUGCCGGGUCAGCGGUGACGAAGAACCGCAUGCCACUUGCUACCGGCCCUCGCGCCUUGAAGUUACACCCGUAGGUGGCAAGGACGACAGUGAGUUCGUCGUGGAAGUUGUGGAGAUUGGCAACGAGGAAAGGGAGCAUGCCCACAACCGGCCAGUCCAUGGGGUACAACGGGUUUCUCAGCCUCCAGAACUUAAUGUACAUGCACAAUGAUACAACGAGAAGUGUGGAGAUGACUAGUUCUUGCAAGUAGGGCAACGCCAUUGCUUGCAAUGUCAUGUGUCUAUAAGCUACGAGCCUCCGACUGCGAGUAUAUUCUGUGUGCACAAGAAUUGAAGUUUAGGACGUCUAAAUUUAAAGAGAAACUUUUCAUCUUCGGGACAGGUUCGAUAUCAAGCAUUGAAUUCAGUUUCAUGGAGGAUCCCUAUCUUGAUGGAUGCCACAUGUCUUAUCUCGCCAAUCUCAAUCGUCCCUUUGACUUCUCAGUACUCCCGUAUAGUUAUAUAGUUAGUGGGUGAGAAAUAAAAGGGAUGGUUGAGAUUAGCAUUGAUGGGAUGUGGCUCCAUAGGGUUGGAUUCACAUAAAGCUCGAACAAGAAGAGUACAAGACCAUACUCCUAGAUGAUCGUGGAACCUAUAUUUUUAUUGAAAUAAAAGGAAGGAUUAUUGGAUAUCUAAAUGGUAUAUACUUCAAACCAACUACCUCCUAGUUCCAUCGAAGUACGGAUUUCAUUCAACAGUUGCAAACUUGCAAUGCCUCCUCACCUAACAAAAAUAUGUGGAGUAAGAAAGUUGUUAAUCCUGAACAUAUACCACUGAUUUGAAUCUUACCUUUUGAUAAACAUUCUGGAUUUUUAUGUAUGAUUUUGUUAAUUUUUUAGGAAAUUUAUGAUUAUAUAAUGAGCACGAAAAGUUAGAGGCACGGAGCUGAGCUGAAUAUCAAAGCUAGUUUUUAGAUGUGAUACUAGCCUUUUAUUUCUAUCGAUGGAUAUCGUUAUCUACAGUCACUAGCAGUUGCUUUCGCGCACUGUACCUGAACACUGCCAGAUUUCUAUCGGUACUUAUCUUAAGGAACUGCCCCUAGAAAAUACACUUGUCUUAGGGCCUGUUUGUUUCAUUGGAAUUUGCUGGAAUUGGAAUUAAUUUCCAAAGUCAUCCUGUUUGGCUGCUCCCGGAAUUGGAAAGACGGAUUCCUCAGGAUUCCAACGCUAUCUAUCGCACAUUCCGACCCUAAAAACACGAAACCGUUUCCUCGGCCCGACCCCGACUCUUUCCCCCCGUGCCGCCGCCCCGACUCCUUCCCCUUGCGCCGCCGCCCCUACGCCACGGCCCCUUCCUCCACUUCCUCCGCCGCCCCCUCCUCCACUUCCUCCGCCGGCCCCCUCCUCCGCUGCCCCCUCCUCCGCUGGCCCCCUCCACUUCCUGAGAAGGCGACGUCGAGGAUCUCCAGAGCCGGCAUAGAGUGCGCCGCCCGUGCCGCUCCUCCGCGCGAGCAGCUUCUCGCUGGCGACCACACGCCACGCGGUGAGCCGGUGCUCCUUCCCUCUCUCCCUCCCUCUCUUCCUCGUCCACAUACACAAUAAUUUCUCUCCUAACCCUAACCCUUGACUCGAUUUGUUCUUUUUCUAGAGGCUGUAGACAGAUCUGAGGGAAGGGAAGCACAGGGACGGGAGGAGGCGGAGCUCGGCAGCUAUCCAUUUUACUCACUGGAAGAUCGACGUGCACCACCAAUACUCCUGCCUUGGUGAGUCCUGCCUCUCUUCCUUCCCAUAUGUUCUUAGUGAAAAAUUAAGUCUUAGGAUUACUUAGCUAAUGUUAUUUGUAUCCUAGGCUUCCAUUUCUACUUAUGUUCCAUUGACUGAUUGGUUAUGUAUUCAUAUUCCUUAUGUAUUAAAUGUUUGUUUCCUAUUUUAGUGAAAUGCCUCCCUUUUGGAGCUAUUGUAUGCCUCAAGUUUCUCAUAAUUUCAGCAUGAAUAUUCAUAUGGAUGUUUUAAACCCAUAAUGUAAACCAAAUUAAUUUUUAUGCAAGCUUUAUUCAAUUUAUCAUUUAGUCAUUAUGUGGCUGUGAAUAAUACACUCACUUAUGCAUUCAUUGGUGUGUAAUGCAGGACUGCAUAUAUGGCUCAACUUUCUUUCUCCUAGCAUCAAUGCUGUUCUGUAUUAGAUAGACAAAAUUGGAUAGUAGAUAGCAUCAAUGUUGUUCUGUAUUAGAUAGACACUGCUCACUUAGGCGUUCAUUGGUGUGUAAUGCAGUAAUGAUAUAUAAGGGUCAACUUUCUUUCUCUUGACAUUAAUGUUCAUGGAUAGUAGAUAGGCAAAAUUGGCUAUGAGACACUGCACUUGGUUUGUGUUUGCCCACAAAUAAAGUAAACUCAUGUCACUGCUAGACAUACUAUAAAGCUUGUUAGUUUUCAGUGUACACAGAUGUUCACCAGCAAAUGAACAUGAAAUUGUAGUUUGUUUGGAUGGUGACAUGAUUUUGUGGUGUGUUUGGACGGUGACAUGAGUUUGUCAAGUGCAAGCUAAGCUACUGUGGGCAGCUUUCAACUUAAACUGGAGGAUCAAUUGGGAUAACUGGUCAUAUAUCUGAAAUAAAGAAUCGGAACAUGCAGAGAAAUAUUUUGUAUCUACUUCUAAAUUAGGUCGCCAACGUUUCUAUAUCUGUUACUUAAGGCCAAUUAUUUUACUGUCUCAGAUUGUUAGCUACUGGUUAAGGCGUUGCUGGGCGGCUUCAAGAAGGAUGCAAGGAACUGAUAUGCUGAGGCAUUGAUACAUUGUAAGUUCAAAGAUUAGCGAGUGGAUCCUUUGUUGAAAAAUCAUAGUUUUUUGGUCCUUUUGAAAUGUCACCUCCAAAAUCUGAUGGUUGUUAGAUAUGAUAGUCGGGUACAUUUUGAUUCUCAUGUUUGAUAUUUCCUCGUUGCAUCAUAUUGCUCCUGCAUGCCUUCUGUGGAGCACGACAUGCAUGUCCAUUUUCUUCCACCAGGACUUCUUUUUCUGGCUCCUAUUCAGAGUUUGUUUGUAUAAGGAUUUGUUUACAUUCUAGCUAUCAACUUCUGAGCGAUAGUUUUCUAGCUCUUACCAUCAAAAGAUGCGCAUACCUAACUGUAUCUUUGGCUCUAUGUAGUGAACGUAGGAAUCAUUAUCUAGUUAAACCAAGACCUUGACUUAACUGGCCAAUCAUUAUCAUUAAGUUUUCUGCCAGUUGCUGGUGAAAAUAUAUAUGGUUUGAGCCAUCAAACAUUACUCUAUGGACAAAGUCAAAGUCAAUGGUACUAAACCAAUGAAAAUGCAAAAGAAUUUCAUCAGACAGAGCACUGAGUUAUUGUUAUUCAACCUUUCUAGUAGAUAAUUUAAUCUGCCCCUGUCAAGAUUGAUAUUUCUAACAAGAUACUUUACUUCUGACUUAAUGAUACUCAGUGGUUCUCCUUGUUACCGUACCACAACCUUAACUGAGAAUCUGAAAUCCUUGUGCUGUCAUUUUCAACUUUACACCUUCAACCUAUUACUGUGACCAUAUAUAUCUAGAUGGCUAGACACUCCAGUAAGAUUUAAGUCGUAAUGUAGCCAUGCUCUUCAGCAUUUUCAUAUGUUUUCUGGAGACCUGGUGCCUAUCCCCAAUGUUUUGUAGGAAUAUAUGACACCUUCCAUCGUGGAUGCUUAGUUUCGUAGUGGCUGCAGGAUUAUUAUGUAAGCUACUAGAAAGUUAGCCAUUUUAGUGCAAACCUGGAGCAUCUCCAAGAGUGAAAGUUAGCCAUUUUAGUGCCUGAUUAAACUGUAACACAUGAAGUUACUGAUUAUCCAAAAUAGUGUAACACAUGAAGUUACUGAUUAUUUUUUAUCUUCUAAUUAUCCAAAAUACUGUAGCAUUUUUAUGAUAAAUUAAAAUAUUCCUUUUGGCAUAUGUGCUUUAGAUGCCUGACAACAACAUAGACUUGGUUAAUACAAGCAUGGAGCAAAUUAGAGAGAUGCGUAGGAAAAAGAGAAAAAGAGUGGCUGCUUUAUUUGUUUCUGCUGUCAUGAGUAUGAUUGUGCACUGGUAUCAGCGUAAGAGACCUAGACAUAUCGUUGAUCCGGAUGAAGUGGCUGAGAGAGAUGUAGCUACACGCAAACAAAUGCUAAGAAAUCUGUACCAAGGAUCAAAUGUCUAUUGCUAUGAUAGUUUGCGCCUAACUAAGAGAUCAUUUUAUGACCUAUGUGCCAUCUUACGUGAGAGAUGUGGUAUGUGUGAUAACAAGAAUGUGUCGGUAGAAGAAAAGGUAGCAAUCUUUUUGCUUGUAGUGGGUCAUGGCACUAAGAUGAGGAUGAUUCGUAGCUCAUAUGGAUGGUCACUUGAGCCAAUCUACCGUCACUUCAAUGAGGUGCUUAGAGAUAUUCUAUCAUUAUGCCAUGAAUUUAUCAAGCUUCCUGAUCCAUCAGCUGUACCACCUGAGGAUUCCAAGUGGAAGUGAUUUGAAGAUUGCCUUGGAGCAUUAGAUGGUACACACAUUGAUGUUUUUGUGCCUUUGGCUGAUCAAGGGAGGUAUAGGAAUAGGAAGCAACAGAUUACCACCAAUGUUUUAGGGGUUUGCUGACUGGUGACUUGGUCUAUUGAGAUUGUUGUGGUGGUACUGUUAGAAUUUUUAAAGUUCUGUUGAAUUGCUGAAAUGUUGCAUUGUUGGUUUUCAUAAACCUGUGCUGUUGGGCUGACCUUAUCUGAAUGGUAUCUGUAGUUGCAACUAGACAUGUGUAACAAAAUAGACAUGCUGACUAUGUGGAAUGAGAAGCUCCUGACCAUUUGUUUUUUUAAGAAAAACAAAGAAGCUUCUGGGUAUAGGCACAAGAUUGUCUUGUACUGGGACUCAAUUAGCUUGGUGUUUGGCAAAGACCAUGCUACCGGUGAAGCGGCAAGGACUGCAGCUAAGAGCUCAAAAGACAUGAGUAAGGAAGAUCUUAGUAACAAAGAGCCCACUUCAUCGGCAACUUCAGGAAGUUUAAAGUGGCAAUGGUCAGGUGACUCUUUUACCUCUAUGAUAGCUGAAAAAAUGGACAAGUUCGCUGAAGCACUCAAGGAGGAAGCCUUUAAAGGCCCAACAUCAAAAGAAAUUCUAGACACACUGAAUGAAGUACAAGGAUUGGAUGAAGACACUUUGUUGGACCUAUUUGAUAUCCUGACCGGUGAUGCACGCAAGUAUGAGUCUCUGUUGGCGCUUCCAGAGAAGAUGAGGAAGAGGUGGCUCCUAAAACAGCUCAAGAAGUGAAAAAAUUAGUUCAUCUAUAAAUUAUACUAUCAAGUGAUGGAUAAUGUCUAUUGAACUUGCAUUGCCUUGUAAUAAUAUGUGGCUAGAUACUAUGUCUGUAUUGCCUUGUAAUACUAUGUCUAUUGAACUUGCAUUGCCUUGUAAUAUUCUAGUGUUCACCUGGUGAUAGUUCGGAUGAGAGAGAGAGAGGUGAGAGUUCGAAUGAGAGAGAAGCAGCUUAGAAGGAUGAGAGAGAGAAAGCGGUAUUCAGCUGGAUGGUGGAAAUUUCAUAUAUUACUAAUAAUGCAUCCAAACAACAUUUGGAAUUUAAUUCUAAGAAAAACUUUCUUGGUACAACCACAAUUGAAUCAAAUUCUAUGGAAUCCAUUUCCUAUAGAAUCUAAUUGCUAGAAUAUGAUUCAUGGAAUGAGUUUCAAUUCCAGGGAAACAAACAGGACCUUAAGGAAUCGCCCCUAGUAAAUGUUUGCAUUUCUACUUGUGGUUAGGAACCACGGUGGAUAAAUCGUCUUAUGCGUCGAGGGAACCUUGCACUCACUAGUGGAAAUAUGAGCAUUAGUUCUGGAAAAUAUGAGCAUUAGUUCUAGUUGGUAAGCCUUAUAUCUCUCGAAAAAUCAACUGAAACUAAUCAUUCAGGACUAAAGGUCCCCUCAUCGUCAUCGCGCUCCUGUGGCGGGUUGUCGCCGUGCUACUACCGCGCCGUUGCCUGCAACUUCACGACUACGCUAUGGCGCUACGUCCACGCGGUGGGGUCAUCCCGCUACGCCGGCGCUUCCUCGUCGGUAUCACACUCUGACACCAGCGACCUCGGGUGGCCAUUGCGCUCGUCGUCGGGAUCGCGCUCCAACACCGCCGACCUCAACCUGCCGUCACUCGUGGAUGGUUGCUGCGGAGCUACUGUGGGCUCCCCGAUGCGUUCCCAGGCUCCUCCGACGGUGGGGGUGGCUUCCUCCACCCUCACGCCCUUGUCACCGUAUCAGAAGUUGACCUUGAUUGUGACCCUUCCAGCUGAUGGGUUCGACUCCGACUCCCAAACUGACGGACUCAUCUGACGACCGGCGCUGCGGCUACCACACGCCCUUCCCCCGGGGCGAUACUUUACGCGUCUUUCGCCACGCUGACAACACCUUCGCGUGCCCUAUCUAAUCCCUUGUCUGAGCUUGGAGGAGAUUCGGACUAUAGAGAUUUUCGUUUGUCAAGGCCUGAAGCGUGAGUGCGGCCUAGGAUGUUCAUCUCGUUCUUUUGACUCCUCAGCUGCAGCUAUGAUGUGAGAGCUGUGUUGGCCAGGCAGGCCCAUUAACCGUGCUGCAUCUGAGAACUUUUUUUAUUUUUUUAUUUUUUAUUUUAGCAUUUUGUAAAAAUAUAUAGUCGGAUGAAAAAAUUCCAAAACUAGACUAUUGUCGCCAGCUGGACCGGCGGAAGGGCCUUACCGCCAGCCCAGGCGGCGGUUGGGCCGGCGGAAGGGCCUUACCACCGGCCCAGGUGGCGAAAGGGGUACACCCCUCCGUCCCAGGUGGCGAAAGGGGUACACCCCUCCGUACCACACUUUCAAAAAAUCAUAACUAAUUCAUAUCAACUCGGAUGGAGAUAAAAUUUAUAUGAAACUUGUAGAUCUUGACAGAUCUACAACUUUGUAGUUAAAACUUUUUUCAUUUGAUGUCAUAUUGGUGCCCAAAUAAUCGACAUAAGUUUCAGAUCUAAAAUUCAAUAGUUGGACCCGCGACAAUAGCCUAGUUUUGCAAUUUUUCAUCUGACUAUAUAUUUUUGCAAAAUGCUAAAAUAAAAAAUAAAAAAAGUCCUGCAUGCGACGAUCGGCGUUUCCACUUUUUUCGCAGAAAUCUGAAGAUGCCAAGUUGGGCUUGUGGGGGUCUUUAGUUGGGCUGUCUGUAGUAGCCUAUGUGUGUGUCUUUAAGUAUUGGUGGUGGGCUAUUCUUGCGGAUGGGCCACAUGUUCAGAUUGUGAGCUGGUUGGUAUGGCGAGCCUGGUAAAAGAUUUUGCCACUUUGUUGCGGGUGAGGAAUACUUUGGAAUGAAUUGAGACCAUAUAUCAUUUAUGACAAGCUAACUAGUUAAAAAAUAAACUAAUUUGCUUAUUUUAAACAUUAUAUAUUUAACAACAGAAGGAGUAAGUUGUUAAACAGUCACUAUACCACGGCCCCUCUAUACCAACUACAUUGGAGUCAGCAUAAGCGUAUGUAUCAAGAGAGCAUCGGUCAAUAUAGAGAUAUACCGACUCCUCUUAUCGGUCGUGUUGGUAGCUGUUAGCGUGCCAGUUGGUGAACCGCAAGCGUACAGAUCAAUUGUAACUCUUCCCUCAGAGUAUUCCCCUAAGCUUUAUCAAUCCAUGAAACUUAUAAUGCAAGAACUAUUUCAACUAGCAUUGUCAGUAUGAUUCGAGUUUAUGAGUAGAUCAGAUGUAAUCUAGCAUAUACAGACAAAUAACAGAUAUGAGCACGAGCAUCUAGAGCAACCUAGAGUAUGCAUAUGUUGUAAUUCUUAGCAAGAUAGCAAAGCAAGACAAAGGGGAUUCUCAAUCAAAAGUCUCUUUAAAUCUCCACCUCUAGUCUGGCUCCCAAAACCCCCCACCUUAGAUGAAACCAGAUCCUGUCACGACCCCCCUAUUACUAUAGAAAGUUUAAGGAUAUGAACAUAAAGAACAUAUCAUACUCAUCGGUAGAUCAAGUAUGCAAAUCUAGCCACCACGAUCACAUGAACAUCCUAUGAAAUCUAUUAUCGAAGAUUGAAAGCAAUCCAAUCUGAUAAAGUAUAAAACCAUAUAAGGAGGCACUUAGAUCGCUAAAGAACAUGAACACAUCUUCCAAAUCUUCUCUUGAUUCACUUUGAUCCCACGAUCAACUUGUCAUAUGUGCAUAAACUUAGGCCUUAUGUCUACCUGGAGGAUUGCUCGCUAAUAAUAAGGAUGAAUGGGCACCCUAAGGCCCUAGAACAAUCGGUUUGGGCUCCAUAGGCCAACCGGCCUAGCCCUUUUUGGGUCUGUUGGCCUUUGUCAGUUGUCGCUUGUUCAGGGCUUGUCCAAUUAUUCUCCAUUAUAGUCUAAAUUCUUGUGAAAAUAGAAUGUCCUCCAAAAUGCAAUGCAUAUGCAAAAAUUGCCCGAUUAUUAGGUAUGAUCAAUAGUUUAGGUAUUAAAUUCAUGUCAUUAUUUAAGAUAAAUAGGGGUAAAAAGAUGUCAUUAAUGAGCACCAACAUGUUGCUAUAAGUGGCGUCGGUAUAGAGUUAUAGCGACCGAGCGUUUGAUGCUAACUUGAGAUCUACCGAUAGACACAUACACAAUGACUCACAGUGGGUCACAGGUUUGUACCGACCAACAGUUUGAGGAUAUAAAUUGACUUCAACGCUAAUCAUCCAUAAUUAUUUAGCAUAAUUAGUUAGCAUUAAGAUGCUUUUUUUGUAAAUUAUGGUACAAUCGUUUAUAGUAAAUUAUGACAUACAAGAAUGGAUAUAUCAAUUCUACUAAGUCGACUACAUAGUUGUUUGAAACCAUUCAAGUUAUUGUAACCAUUCUAGUUCGUUGGGGGAGAGGAGCAAGGGAGAGUGAGGGUAGUGACGGCGGGUGACAGGAGAGAUAGAAAACUAGCUAGGGUUUGGGAUUGACUGGCGCGUCCUUGAGGUAAAUUUUUUCAUGCGAGUGUGGGCGGGAAGCGCGCGGGAAGUGCUGAUGGGUCUACUCUAUGUAUCCCGACGGAUGGUUAGAUGUAUUUUUUUAGAGUGUACUGGCUGAUUUAUUCAAUGAUGGAUGGUUGGAUGUAUUUUUUUGGGUGUACCGACUGAUUUAUUCAAUAGGACAUCUAAAUACAUAUAACGACCGAUCGUGAGUCGUAGAAACUAUACCUGUGAGCUGUUCAUCGGUAUCUACUUUAACAUCUGAUGGUAUUUUGGGGGCUGUGGUACAGUGAGUACCAGCAGAUCGUGGUGUUCAUUGCUUUGAUGCAUGUUUGUCAUACUGGCUGCUGCUAGUUCCUCCGGUCUCGUAAAUGAAGUUUUUGAUAUUGAAAUUACCUCAAAAAUAUAACUGUGAUUUCUAGUUUUUGUUACAAAAUAUUCAUAAAGUGAACGGAUGCUUUUGAUGAACACUAGUAGAGAACUGGGCUUUAAUCCCGGUUGGUAGGGUGCAAAUAUCUCGAAAACGCAUCCGGGAUAAACCAACCGGGACAAAAGGGGGGGGUCUUUUAUCCCGGGUCACUCAACCGGGACAAAAGACCCCCUUUUAUCCCGGUUGGUAACACCAACCGGGAUAAAAGGGUUGAGAGCGCCGACGCUGCAAAAAAAAAAAAAUUCCCGAGCUCCUAGGAGUUAAUACAAAGUCACAAGUCACGUGAUUUUUCACGCGAAAUACGCGCGUGCGCGGUUCGUGGGAUUCGAACCCACAACCUCCAGCCUCGCGCGUAGCUUCCUUGCCAACCGGGAUAAAUGACCCCCUUUUAUCCCGGUUGGUAUUACAAACCGGGAUAAAAGGCUCUUGACCCUUUUAUCUCGGUUGGUGUUACCAACCGGGAUAAAAGGGGGGGUCUUUUAUCCCGGUUGGUGUUUCAAACCGGGAUAAAAGGCCUCUCCGAGUCUUUUUUUCCCAUUAGCCUUUGCAACCGGGAUAAAAGGUUCCGGUUGGUGAGGCCCCCACCAGUGACCGAGUUUUAGUCCCGGUUGGUGAACCUUUUAUCCUGGGCCAACUUUAAACUGGGACAAAAGGGGGCGGAUGGAAAGUCGUUUCUCUACUAGUGGAAGUUACUAUUAAACAUAAAUAUACUCGUAUAAAUUUAUCCAAACCUUUUACACAUAGAAAAACAAUUAAUAUGCCAUCAAAGUUUCAAAUAAGCUUAAGAUAAUCUGAAAACAUCACUUAUUUAGAAAGAGGGAGUAAUACAAACUAUCAGUACUGAAAUCAAAGAGUCUUUAGUUGGGUAUGAUCCCAGCUUUCAGAUGGCCAGAUGACGGCGUCCGUAGACUUUAUUUAAUGACGAAAAUACAUGUUACGCUUCCAUUUGCUUCAUUAUACGUUUGGAUUUAAUUAUUUGUUCAAACCAUAUAUGCCAGGACUGAGUCGAUCUGUAGUUGCAUUGCACCUAGCUUAUUCCAUGUCACAUUGAUUACUCUCUCUGUUUAACCAUCAUCAUGAGCCCGUUCUUCAAUUGCAGAAUGCACGACAGCUUUGGCUCGAUGCUCUGCCCUUUCAACACCUCCAUAUCAAAGUUCCACACCACCGCGGCAACGAUGGUCUUCAUCUGCGCAAUUGCUAUGUUCUUGCCAAGGCACAUCUUCGGCCCUGAGUUAAACGCCAUGAAUUUAUUGGACGGCACGUAACGCAGUUUAGCACCGUCCUCGGACAGCCACCUCUCCGGACGGUACACAUGGCAAUCCUUGCCCCACAGGGAUUCCAUUCUACCCAUCGCAUAGAUGGAGAUCAGGAUGGUUUCACCGGAGCACAACUGGUGACCACUUGGGAGCACAUCGUCGGCUAGCACCACCUUGCGCUCGAUCGGGCCUGGUGGGUACAACCUGAGCGACUCCAAUAAGGCUGCCUGAAGGUAGACUAGGUGUUCAGUCUCCUUUGGAUCAAAGACGACCAUACUACUGAUGCUAUUGGAGGCGAGAGCAGUGGCCUUCAGUGAUGCGAUGGGUUCCAGUUCCUUGCGGAUGCAAGAGACCACACGGGGGUUCCUGGCGAGGUUGUAGAAUACCCACGGUAGCGUGGUACCAACCGUGUCCCGCCCGGCGAUCAUGUAAUUGAUGAGUAGAUUACGUAGUAGGACAUCGUCUCUGCCCACUGAUGGGUCAGCAGAAAUAAUGUCCAUGGCCAACACAUCAUCAAGGAGAU
rnacentral:lncRNA from 1 species